GUGGUUGUGGCUCAGUGGUAGUGUGCUUGCCUAGCAUGCAUGAGGCACUGGGUUCAAUUCUCAGCACCACA
rnacentral:tRNA from 1 species